AGAAGGAAAAGCAGUCCACCCCCACGGGACUCACUGUUGCUCUCAGAUGACUGUUCCUCUCUCCCAGCGAGCACACAACUCUCUGAUGAAAAUCCCAGUAGGUCCUGGCUGGAGUCAUGAGGCAGCGCGCGAGCCGAUCGAGGCCGGAGGAAUCCAUUUGGUCUAAUCGAUCUAUGACUCAGUGAACUUUACAUGGACGCUGGAAAUACUGAAUAUUCAUGACACAGUGUAUAACAACAGAAAGAGAGGAUACAGAACACUGUUUGCAAAUCAGUUUGACAAAAAAGGAAGAUGAAGAAAUUAGCCACAAGAGAGAAGAAACCCCACAGGAAUAAAAACACAGACAGGAAGGGGAU